UCAAGCAUCGAGUAAGUGUUAAUGUUUUUAAAGAACAGCUGACUCCAAAAGCAUAACCUGUGCCAGAUUUUUGUAAUGAGUUUGUUGAAUUUGACGAAAAAUAAGUGAAAUGAUUUGAAUAAGCAAUAACAAAGCUUCCGGAAUUAGCGGCGAAUGGAGCAAGGACGCAACUGCACUGUCUGCGGUGCCAGUGUGCGAUGAAGCUGAGGAAAUCGGACAAUAGUAUUCAACCAUAUUGGUUCUCCAAGCUCAGCUUUCUGCAAUCCCACAUAAACCUCGGAGAUGCAAAGCCCUAUGCAUGCAAAUUGGAAAACAAUAAUAGCUGGAUCCCAGGAAGAGAGGGGCAUGAGGAACUGAAUUUGUUUUCCAGACUUUCCCUUUUGAAGUACCAUGAGCAAGCACAGGAUCCAUUUGAUGCUUAGAGUGACGACGACUUCGAAGAAGAUCAGACUGGACGAGCCCUUCAGCAGCCCGUCUGAUAAUGAUGAGGUUGUUCCGGAAGCUAUCGCAGCUAAGAAAGAGACGCAUGAACUAACAAAUACUUGAAAUCCAAUCCAAAUCCAAGGGCGAUUUAUUUCAACAGCUUUUCAACACCAUACAUCGUUCCAACGAGAAGGCAUUUCUAUGAAUAGUUAUUUAGAGAUAAUUGGUAUUUUACCUCAAUAAUUGUAUUAAAAUUUUCAAAAAAUA